rnacentral:lncRNA from 1 species
UCCUGUCUCUACCCAUGGAGAUAUUAAUUCUUAGAGGAUUUGUCUAUUUUUUCCACUAGGACCUGGACCUAGCCCCUGGGAAAGAGUGCAGGUGGGUUAAAAAGACUUUGAGGAGUAGCAGGGUGAGGGGAGCUGGUGCCAUUGAAUCACAUCCACACAUUAGUUCAAUGUAUGCAAAGCAGGCAGCGGGGUGCUGGGUCCAGAGUAUGCAUUCAAUAAAUAUUGGCUAAUUAUGAUUAUUAUGUCUAAUUAACAGGACGGUUGUGAGGAUCAAGCAGGAUAAUGUAUGCUAACCCAUGCUGUGAACGCUGCGUGCUGGGUGCAGAGAAUGGUGGAGGCCCCACAGUGGGUGUGAUGCCACUUUACCAACAGCGACCUUGGAGGUGACCUCUGUGGAAAGUGCCAUGGACCAGCCAAUGUGAGUUGUGGCUAGUGCUACUGUUUGGGGCUUGGGUGGUUGGUGGAUGGAUAUUUACUGAAUUCUUAAACCUGAAUGGAUAUGUAAGUAAAGUCAAAGGUGACCAUGCCCAGGACAGUGAUGAGACAGUCAUGAAUCUAGAGUGAUAAGUCCAAGUAGACACAACAAGUCACCAAAUUAAAAAGAAAAAAACAUUAGGCUGUUCUCUGUGUAGGAAAUAGCAA